UCUGGUGAUUAUGGCUUGAAGGUAACACUUGUUCCCAUACCGGACAUGUCGGUUAAGAUUCAAUGUAACCAGGUGCUACAGGGGGAACCUUGUGGAAGAGUAGGUGUCGUCAGGU
rnacentral:rRNA from 1 species